rnacentral:rRNA from 1 species
GACGAACGCUGGCGGCGCGCCUAACACAUGCAAGUCGAGCGAGAACCAGGCCUUCGGGCCUGGGGAAAGCGGCGAACGGGUGAGUAACACGUGGGCAACCUGCCCUCGGCACUGGGAUAGCCCGGGGAAACCCGGAUUAAUACCGGAUAGCCUCCGGAGCCUUCGGGCGCCGGAAGAACGGUGGCUUCGGCAUCCGGCCGAGGAUGGGCCCGCGGCGGAUUAGCUUGUUGGUGGGGUAACGGCCUACCAAGGCGACGAUCCGUAGCUGGUCUGAGAGGACGAUCAGCCACACUGGGACUGAGACACGGCCCAGACUCCUACGGGAGGCAGCAGUGGGGAAUCUUGCGCAAUGGGCGAAAGCCUGACGCAGCGACGCCGCGUGCGGGAAGAAGGCCCUCGGGUUGUAAACCGCUUUCAGGAGGGACGAAGCCACUCGGGUGAAUAGCCCAGAGGGUGACGGUACCUCCAGAAGAAGCCCCGGCUAACUACGUGCCAGCCGCCGCGGUAAGAC